rnacentral:lncRNA from 1 species
CACCUUCGGAGAUACCUGUAGAGCAUGUUUAUAGCCACCCAGUUACGUUGUGACGUUUGAUACACACAAAGCAUUCCUCCGGUGUCAGUGAGUUAUACGAUCUCAUGGUCAUAGGAAUAAAUACUUGACAUGCAAAAAACAGUAGCAACAAAAUGACACGAUCAACAUGCUACGUCUAUUAGUUUGGGUCUAGUCCAUCACAUGAUUCUCCCAAUGAUGUGAUCCAGUUAUCAAGCAACAACACCUUGCUCAUAGCCAGAAGACCCUGACUAUCCUUGAUCAACUAGCUAGCCAACUAGAGGCUUGCUAGGGACGGUGUUUUGUCUAUGUAUCCAC